UAACCUCUUGAAAGAUUUCUGAGUGCAUAGU
rnacentral:piRNA from 1 species